ensembl:lncRNA
AUCAGGGAAAGCGAAGGCAGGAGCGUGAGGUGAACUGAAUUUCAGGUAAGAAGUUAUGAACUGCACUCUAUUUGGGUCAGAUAUAAACAGAGUUUAGGUGUAGUUUAUUUUCGUUGUGCUGACUUUUUACAAUCGUACUGCGUGCUAGCUAGCGCGACGGGAGUUUAUAUACAGCUGUGUGCGCGCUAAGUUACUGACGUUGGACUUUAUUUUAUUCAUAAUGGUUAGUUCGUAGAGUUGCCGUACAAACGGAAUCGUGCCACAUUCAGAGAAAAUAUUACGAUUUAUUCUGUCGUUACGAAGCCUCCCCUGUCAUUCUCUCGCCUGUUGAAACUUCAGUCAUGAAACUGAUCAAUGAUCGGCUUUUCUCUUUGUUUCUGUGUGCGCGCUAAGUUACUGACGUUGGACUUUA